CUGUGACUUCAACACUUCAUGACUGAGAGCUGCUGCUCAGCAACUUCACCCACAGCAACCAUGACUUUGAUCAGCGUCUUCAUCUGCACACUGGCCCUCUGGACUCAAGGAUCCAGAGGUCAGGUGACUGUGACUCAGACUCCUUCAGUGCAAACUGUUGAUCCAGGAAAAACAGUCACCUUCAACUGUAGAACCAGUAGCAGUGUGUAUAGUGGUAACCGUCUCGCCUGGUACCUGCAGAAACCUGGAGAAGCUCCUAAACUCCUGAUCUACAGGGCUACUAGCUUAGAGUCAGGAACUCCAGCUCGUUUCAGUGGCAGUGGAUCUAAUACUGACUUCACUCUGACCAUCAGAGGAGUCCAGACUGAAGAUGCAGGAGAUUACUACUGUCAGAGUGGACAUAGUGGUCCUGUGUUCACACAGUGUUAGAG